rnacentral:lncRNA from 1 species
UCCUUUCGCUUUGUGCCAGCGAGAGGACUUUACUUUUUCUGACGUGGCACACUACCUGCGGUCAGAGGACCCUUCUGGAAAUCCGAUUAAGAAGAAGAAGGGUGCGCAUCUAUACCGCGAGGCGGUCCUUCCACACUUGGCCGUGAGACUUCGCGGCGCUAAGCUGAUACGAGAAAGGAAGGCCCAAGAGAUUGGCCCCCGCAGAACGUUCGAGACUGGGUCGAGCUCGAGGUCUGUGCCUGAAUUCGCCCCCUUCCACACCACAUUUGAUUAUCCUGGUUUGUUUGCCGAUGAAGGGGUGCGGACGAAGGCUGCCCAGCUGCUUCUGACUAAGCCUGGGGAUUGGAUACGCGAAG